GGAAUGAGCUGCAGGCAAUAUUUAUAGCUCCCGUUCUAACUUUGUUUUCACUGCAACUGGGAAAGGAGGUUGAUCAGUGGGAGUAUUUUCAGAUCUGGUAAGAUCCUAGCACUAAUGGAUGGCCAGGGAGGGGGACCCAGAGCUCUCACAGAUAAUCUGCCUUCUUAUAGCUGGCAUGUUUUUAAAUCUAAGAGCCUUAAUCUCUCUUUUCCGCUGGCCAGGCGGGUAAACGACAAUGGUGAGGUCACCCUGACUUCCUCCCCGCUCUGCCUCCUGCCUGGAGCCCACAAGGAACUAAUGAAUGGAUCGAAGGCGUAUCAUUAAUCACAGGUUGUUUGGGCACUGCAGGAGAAAUAGCCCUUUCUUGAACUCUCACUGUAGUUCAAAUAUAUCAUUGUGACUUUUGCCACAUUGCACUCGCUGACACACAUGAAGGCAAGGGAAGGCAAUGAACUAUUCAAACUUCUCCCAAAGUCCCAGGUGCUCUGAUGUCAUCUCCUUGAUAACUCCAACCAAUGUGGAUUCCACACUGAAAGUGUUGAAGUUGUCUACAUACCAACUGACACAAUAUCUCUCAUUUGGUCACUUGAUCAUGUGGGAAUAUGAACAUUUAAGGCACACUAUACAUACUAUCCAGUGGGAAGGAUCACAGAGAAUAUCAUAGGAAAACCCCAUGAUUUGAAAGACAUACCUGUACCAUUUUGUGAAUUCGACUUUCCUUCUCCAUAUCUUAUUUGUUCACACUAUCAGGCUAUCUGAAAUGGGAUCCCAGAGCAUCCUUAACCUGUUAAAAUAAUUUUUGUUUCUUUGCAACCUAAAACAGGUACUGUUUCUUACAUGAAAUCUUCCCUGAUCACACUAUAUGGAAAUAGCCUCUGCCUCCUCAGUCAUUAGAAUAUCUAUUUGCACUCUUCUAUCCACAUAUCACCUUCCAAUUUGUAAUACAAUUAUUUGUGAACAUUUCAUAUCCUACUAAAUAGUAAGUUCCUUGAGGAUAUGCACAAUAUUUUUCAUUUUGCAUCUCCAGUAAUUUGUACAAAACCUUACCUAAAGUAUCCACUUAAUGAAUGUUCAUUGAACUAACCUAAUGGUUGGCAUUCAAUGAAUAUUUGCUAUUAAUAAAGCAUGACACUGUUUUGUUACUGCUAUGACC
rnacentral:lncRNA from 1 species